GUCCCGCACGCAGCUCCGCGGCCCCCGGUCCCGCAUUCCUCGUCCUCCGCGCUGAGAGCCGCGGACCCCCCGCGGGCACCUCUCGCUGCCGCCGGGGCGAUGCGCAAAGAACGAUCCUCGCGGUGAUUAAUAGCAGAAAAAAUGUAUUUAUUUCCCAUUAAGCGACGUUACAUGGCUUAGCCCAGGAAAGCGAGAAGUCGGGACGCACUGCCUCGCAAAUCACCGCCGCCACCGCUCCGCUCCGGCGCUCCGCAGAGCCGCCUUAUCUGCCGGCAGCGCCCGUGUCUGCCGCCCCUUCGGCCGCGCGUUCCGUAGAGGUGAGUACAGGCACCGAGUCUGUCACUGCUCUUUUUUUUUCCCCUCUCCUUUCGGAUUCGAGACAGGCUGCUAUUGGUUUUAUUGGUAGCGUUAUGCUUAGCGAGUUCCUUAAUGCCGCCUGGAGGAUCCGCUCUUGGCAUUCACCGCGUGCCUUAAUUGUAUGACAUUAAAUCAAGGUCCGCUGUGAACACGGAGAGGCAGAGCCUGGGAGCGCUCACGCGCGUUCUCUCUGGAAAUAGAAUAGCGACGGAUCUCCGGGGAAAAAAAAUAUAAGAAGAAAGAAAAAAAAAAAGAAAAAAAGAAAAAGAAAGAAAAAAGGAAAAAAAAAAAAAAGGCGGUUCCCUUCCGCCGCGGUCCCAUCCUGGGCUGGGUGCAAUUCGCUCUCCAAUUUUCCUACUCGCCCAUCUGCUGUUUGCAAUGCCCAGGAAGCUGUUCGAUAAGCACGUAAUAGACUAAAAAGAAAAAUCACAGAAAUGAAGCGUGUGCCGAUCGCGCACUCCCAGGCGGUAAUUUCGUCCUCGCCGGGCGUCAGCGCCCCGACGGUUGUGAGCGCACAGCGGCCGCAGGGCCCGCUCGGCCCGGGGGAACCGCAGCCCGGGGCGCACCGCUCCUCCUGGCCGGGGGCGGCGGGGGGAAGCGAAAGGCCGGGACGUGGCAUCUCGCUUUGUAAAGAGGAAAAAAAAAAAUGUAACUCGCUCGCACCUGCCCUUUUCCCGGGAGGGUCGGGGCAGCCCAUCUGGCCUGCCUACACCGAGCUGUGCGAGCGAGGAAAUGAGGGAUGAACUCAUUAGAAUAAUAAUAAUAAUUAAAAAAAAAAUAAAAAACAGCCUACGCUUUGUAUUCUUAUUGUUACGGUUGCGGCCGCCUCUCAGCGCUCAGGACGGGACCGUUGUGCCCCUGUGCCGCCGGCACGCCGGGAGCACCGACCCGGCCGGACCCCCCGAACCGUGCGGGCUGACCUCGACUGCUGCCGGGGUCCUGGGCCCGGGAGGGAGAGGGCUACGCUGCGCUGGGCUCCGGCGGCGAGGUGGGCUUCCCGGGGGCUGUUCCGCCGCUUGCCGGGGCA
ensembl:lncRNA